GAUGAACGCUGGCGGCGUGCCUAAUACAUGCAAGUCGAGCGAACAGACGAGGAGCUUGCUCCUCUGACGUUAGCGGCGGACGGGUGAGUAACACGUGGAUAACCUACCUAUAAGACUGGGAUAACUUCGGGAAACCGGAGCUAAUACCGUAUAACAUGUUGAACCGCAUGGUUCAACAGUGAAAGACGGUCUUGCUGUCACUUAUAGAUGGAUCCGCGCCGCAUUAGCUAGUUGGUAAGGUAACGGCUUACCAAGGCAACGAUGCGUAGCCGACCUGAGAGGGUGAUCGGCCACACUGGAACUGAGACACGGUCCAGACUCCUACGGGAGGCAGCAGUAGGGAAUCUUCCGCAAUGGGCGAAAGCCUGACGGAGCAACGCCGCGUGAGUGAAGAAGGUCUUCGGAUCGUAAAACUCUGUUAUUAGGGAAGAACAAAUGUGUAAGUAACUAUGCACGUCUUGACGGUACCUAAUCAGAAAGCCACGGCUAGCUACGUG
rnacentral:rRNA from 1 species